rnacentral:tRNA from 2 species
GGGCGCGUAGCUCAGCUGGUUAGAGCGCUUCUCUGAUAAGGAAGAGGUCCCUGGUUCGAUUCCAGGCGCGCCCA